GACGAACGCUGGCGGCGUGCUUAACACAUGCAAGUCGAGCGGUAAGGCCCUUUCGGGGGUACACGAGCGGCGAACGGGUGAGUAACACGUGGGUGACCUGCCCUCAGCUCUGGGAUAAGCCUGGGAAACCGGGUCUAAUACUGGAUAUGACUCCAUGACGCAUGUUGUGGGGUGGAAAGCCUUGUGCGGCUGAGGAUGGGCCCGCGGCCUAUCAGCUUGUUGGUGGGGUGANGGCCUACCAAGGCGGCGACGGGUAGCCGGCCUGAGAGGGCGACCGGCCACACUGGGACUGAGACACGGGCCCAGACUCCUACGGGAGGCAGCAGUGGGGAAUCUUGCGCAAUGGGCGAAAGCCUGACGCAGCGACGCCGCGUGAGGGAUGACGGCCUCGGUGUAAC
rnacentral:rRNA from 1 species